rnacentral:lncRNA from 1 species
UUUUUUUUUUUUUUUUUUUAGAUUCCACAUAUAAGUGAUAUAUGGUAUUUGUCUUUCUCUGACAUACUUCGCUUAGUAUGAUAAUCUCCAGGUCCAUCCAUGAUGGACAAAUGGCAUUAUUUCAUUCACUCCUGAUCUGCCUUUUAAAUUCCUCAGUAACUCCCUAUCACCUUCAGGGUCCUGUUCAAUCUUAUGAGCAUCCUCACAUACACUUUCCAAUCAAAAAAUACCAAAUACGAGUUCCCAUCAUGGCUCAGUGGGUUCAGAACCCGACCAGUAUUGAGAAGUAUGUGGGUUCAAUUCCUGGCCUCAUUCAGUGGGUUAAGGAUUCAGCGUUCCCAUGAGCUGUGGUGCAGGUCACAGAUGAGGCUCGGACUUGGCAUUGCUGUGGCUGUGGCAUAGGCUGGAACCUCCAUAUGCUGCAGAUGGGGCCCUAAGAAGAGGGAGAAAAAAAAAAAUACCUUCAGGCAGGUCUACCUCCAGCCCACGUGGCACCUUGUGCAAAUUAGACAAAGGCACUUCCUACUACAGGUGCUCCGAGGAGCCAAGCCCACGCAGGAUUUCAGCCCUGCUCUCACCCCAUCUCUGCCCACCCUUUUUGAAAGGUCACAAGUGCUCAACCAGCCCUGCAGCCCUAACUUAAGCUUCUCAUCAAGCACCUCUUUGUCUACUUGUCUAGAACACCUUUACCCACUAAAUCCCCCUACCUAACUCCUAUUCGUCCUUCUAAACGUCAAAGCAAUCAUUCUCCUCCAAGAGGAACCCACCUACUCUAUGCUACCAGAAAACCCUUGUCACAGCAUGCCUGUCACAGAUUUUUCCAUUCAUUUCCCCCAUGUAGCAUUCUGUGACCAUAAGGACCCUGUCUCUUAGAUCUGUGUGCCUGUAGAGCUCAGCACAGCGCCGCAGACCCAUCGUUGCUGAAUGUCAAACAAACGAUGCCACUUGCUUAUAUGGUCACCAUGUAAGAUCCCCAGCAGUUUGGAGAUGGGGCCACUGGGAGGGGGGUGCUGUUCCUCAAAUUACAUAAUCCCCACUCAGAUAACCAGAAGCCAAGUUUCAUUGAGCAAUCAUUUCAUUAACCUAUGAUUAAGAAGAACAAACAUUUUAUUUAUGUAUUGCUUUUUUAGAGCUGCACACGUGGCAUAUGGAGGUUUCCAGGCUAGGGGUGAAAUAGGAGCUGCAGCUGCUGGCCUCCACCACAGCCACAGCCACACCAGAUCCUUAACCCACUGAGUGAGGCCAGGAAUCAAACCCGCAUCCUGAUGGAUACUAGUGGGGUUCAUUACCACUGAGCCACAACGGAAACUCCAAUAUUAAAAAAAUAAAGAGUUAGCCCUACUUCCUGAAGCACAGGCCGGCGCUCUUCUACACCUGCCUUUCUUGGGAUUUGCCAAUUCCCUCCUGACACAAAUCCAGAAUUCUCUUCUCGAUUCAUGCCAGGCUAAAGGAAGCGGAGCCCCCAGACUUUAAGUCCCUGUUCAAAGCACCUGUGUAUCUGAAAUCGAGCUAUUUUACUUGGGAAAAAUGUACUUGUCAGUUGGGUGUGAGCCAUUUGGAGGAAAGACUGGGCCAAUACCUCGGGGAUUUAGUCAGAGAUGUUACAGCCUCUCUGCUCACCAGGACGCCAAUGCGUGCCACCCUGCCCCAGCCCCCGCUGAAGGUGACAACAGAACCCUUCAGCUUGCUGCCUGUGGAUUGAGGUACUGGGGCCCAGAGACAAUGAGUUAAUGAGGUGACAAAAGCUGGGGAGCUGGGAGGACACAUGGGGGAACCCACAGCUUCGUGGAGGGCCAGUGCCCCCCAGGGCCAGGGCCACUCACGAGGGGGGCCAGGCGGAUGGAAACCCAGAAGGCGGGGGGUUGGGGUGGGGGAAUUCAGCAGACAGGAUCUUGUUGUUGCUGCAAAUGACACAAGUGACACCGAACCUUCAAAGACUUUUAAGCAAAAAUGGGAAUUCCUUGGGGCGGCCCAGGAUGAGGAUGGCCUCAGGGACUGAAAAUACCGUCAGACUCUCCUUCACCCCCCUCCUAUCAGGCACCAUCUCUUUGGAUGUGUGUGCUCGAGGGCAUGCACGUGUGUGUGUGUUUGUGUGUGUGUGUAUGUCUGUCUGUCUGUCUGUCUGUCUGUCUCAGUUUCUACAUCUUUUUCUCUCUCUUUCCAUAUCACAUACAUACUUUUUUCUACAGGAAACAGGACUCUCCUUCAGUGCGUGAGUGAGAGGGUGCAUGCGUGUGUCUCAGUUUCUAUGUCAUUUUCUCUCUCUUUCCAGAUCGUAGAUAUACUUUUUCCUACAGUAAACAGGACUCUUCUGUGUGUGUGUGCAUGGGGGUGGGGAUGCAGAAAGCAAUCACAGAGCAGAGAACGUCAGGUUUAUUUCAUCCCAUAUUAGCCACUUCAAAAGACAGAACGUUCUGGCUUCUCGUAGACUGUAUAUAGACCCUCGGAAGAGGACCCUGGUCUGUGUGGCUUGGAUACCUGCUUAUCUAUGAUGGUCCUUAGCCCUGUUUACUCAGUGGUGCCCGUCCUUGGGCUUCCUCACAAACAGAUCUGAUCCCACCGCAGUAUCCGUGCCCUGUGUGCUUGGGAAGACAGAGACUUCCACAGCCCCAGAGAGAAAUCAUUCUUCAUCCACACCAGUCAUGACACUCUGACUCCCUUGCCGGGUACUAGUCUGGGCACAGGGACAGGAGAGCCCUAGCUAACGAGCUUCAAUCCAAAGGAAAGUUUGUAGGAGAGUUUUUUCCCUCAUUCUUGAUAAAAUACAUCAAACUGGGACUCCCUCCAGCCUCUGGAUAGAGUUAUGCAAAGAUAUGAUGCCUGGGGGGUUCCCAUCAUGGCUCAGUGGUUAAGGAAUCUGCCUAGGAAGCAUGAGGUUGCAGGUUCGAUCCCUUGCCUCACUCAGCGGGUUAAGGACCCGGCACUGCCAUGAGCUGUGGUGUAGGUCACAGAUGCGGCUCAGAACUGGCAUUGCUGGGGCUCUGGCGUAGGCUGGUGGCUACAGCUCCCCUUAGACCUCUAGCCUGGGAACCUCCAUAUGUCGCGGGUGCGGCCUUAGAGAAAGGCCAAAAAAGAAAAAAAAAAUUAAACCUAUAUUUUAAAAAAAUUUUUAAAAAAAGAUAUGAUGCCUGAGCCAUCUUGUAAUCAUGAGGGACAAAUCUGGAGAUUUCAACCAUCACGCUGAGGAUGGUAGAAUGGAAACAAAUCAACCUGGAGCCCCGAUGACAUCACUAUGCCAUCCCAUUAACCCCAGGACCCUGUCCUUCAGGAAGCCAGUCUGCAGGGAGAAUAACAGAACUGAUGUUCAAAGCCAGCUGAAAGGAGGGACUAUUCAGCCCAAGGAUAAAGCGAAUAGCUGCCUACAAAAAUCAUAAUAGGAGUUCCCAUUGUGGCUCAGUGGUUAACGAAUCCGACUAGGAACCAUGAGGUUUCGGGUUCGAUCCCUGGCCCUGCUCAGUGGGUUAAGGAUCUGGCGUUGCCAUGAGCUGUGGUGUGGGUCGCAGACGUGGCUCAGAUCCCAAGUUGAUGUGGCUCUAGUGUAGGCUGGUGGCUACAGCUCCGAUUAGACCCCUAGCCUGGGAACCUCCAUAUGCCACAGGUGCAGCCCUAAAAAAGGCAAAAAGCCAAAAAAAAAAAAAAAUCAUAAUAAAGGCUAGUGGUUACUGACCAUUGACUCUGUAUGUGUCAGGCAGUGCUCCACGUGCUUUAAAUGCAUUACCUCAUUUCAUCAAUACAACAACCCAACAAGGUAGAUCCUUUCAUUAUUCCCUGCUUUUCAGAUAGGCAAACAAGUCCAGAAACAUCAAGGAAUUUAUCCAAGGACACAAACUCAGCAAUGCCAGGGGGGAUUUCUCUCACCCUUCUGACUCCUUCUGACUUAGUCAUUAGGUUAUCUUGGACGUGCUCCUGGCUGGCCGCAGUUGGAUUCCUCAAGCUUCCCUCCCUUCUUUUCAAAGAACCCUCUUUUUAUUUUGGCUGGUUUGAGCCAGUUUAAUUUCACUGCACCCAUAUGUCCCCUUAGGCUCCAGCACUGGCCAAACUCAGGCUUCCUUUCUCGGGUCCCUUAAUAAAUCUGUGAGUCUCAGUAUCCGUUUGUCAAAUGCACUGAGUCCAGAUCCCACAUUAAAACUCUAAUUUGGUGGAAUCUGUGGUUCCUUGUUUGGCUCCUUCCCCAACUGUCACGUGGCCAGUGUUAGUUUGGGGUCUUUCAUCGGCCUCUCUAGUGUGAGAUGACUCAUUAAUUAAAAUAUUAACGAGCACUUCACAAGAGAUGAAGUUGUUGACACUGCGCCAUUAUACCCUCACCUUUAAUUUCAUCUGGUUUUUAACUUUUCAAAGUCAAAGUUUUUGCAGUAAGUGACAUCCUGCAUUCACAUGUAUCCCUGUGGCUCUGUGGGAUCAGGAAGGCAUCCCUAUGGCCUUACUACUGUUUAUUCAUGUCACACCCUUACUCCCUCAUUCAUUCAACAAAUAUUUGAGUAUCUGCCAUGCCCCAGGCACUAUGCUAGGUGCUGGGUAUCAAUAGUUGUUCUCUGCCCUCACAGAGGGCAAUAAAGUGCAAUGAUAGGCCAGAUGGGUUUUUUUUUCCUUUCCCCCUCUCUCUCUAAAUCAACAGGAGAGCUACCACAAAUGAGAAAGGUUAUAGGAGUAGACAAAGCAGUUUGUGGGCACAACCAAACAAAUGGGAGUGAGGAGCGCAGAUCCUGCUGGCUGACUGCCGGGGCUCAAAUCCUAGCUCUCUCGCUGCAUGACCUUGGCUUAGUUACUGAACUGGCGUCUCAAUUGUUUAAUUACCUGUUCAAUAGGGAUUAAAAUCAUAGCUUUGUCAGUAGGCUUUUUGUGAGAGCAUCUUUAUAAGUCUUUUAGAACAAAACACGUACAAGUAUUUGUUCAAAAGGGAAAGGGAGCUAUAGCCUGUUCCACCCACUGAUCAUAAGGAAGCAACUAUGCUGCAAGUAGUGCAAUGGGACAACACGCUGAUCUUGGAAUCUGCAAACAGGAGCACAGCACGGUCAGUGUUGGGGAGAACUGGGGCUCCAGGCGCCGGGCCCAGAGUCACCCCUGUGGAAGAUGACCCGCUGCGUGCCACCCCCCCCACUAACACCAAGCAAAACAGAGCCCCCACAGUCAGUUGUCUCUUGCUCUCUCAGAAUCCCCAAAUCAAGGUGUUGCUAAAAUUUAAGGUGACUUUUCCUGCAGAAUUUGUUUUCCAGAGGCAUAACUUGGAAGGAAGCAGAACGACCGAUUUGGAAGAAUCUUGGGAGCCAAGCAUCACCCAAUUGUUUGAUAACCCUGCCUCUGCUGGCACAUUUCUGCUGAUGAGGGCGCACAUUUUCAGUUAGCCUUUCCCUUAUUGGUCAUCUCUGGUUAUCAUCAAGUACUUCCUUUUAUUGCUCCCAAACCACCUUUCCUGGUGCUGCAGCAAGGAUCGCCCUGACUCUAAAGGAUGUCUUGAAAUGCCUGGAGAAAGGGGUUCCCCCCUUUCUAGGUUCUGAGCAAGUCAUUACCUGACAAGAGUUCAGACCAAAAUCCUUCAAGAUCAAAGGAGGGGACGCAGAGGGGCGUCCUAGAAGAUCAUUUUGAGAGAGGGCUCU